AGUGAACGCUGGCGGUAGGCCUAACACAUGCAAGUCGAACGGCAGCACAGUAAGAGCUUGCUCUUACGGGUGGCGAGUGGCGGACGGGUGAGGAAUACAUCGGAAUCUACUUUUUCGUGGGGGAUAACGUAGCUAAACUUACGCUAAUACCGCAUACGACCUACGGGUGAAAGCAGGGGAUCUUCGGACCUUGCGCGAUUGAAUGAGCCGAUGUCGGAUUAGCUAGUUGGCGGGGUAAAGGCCCACCAAGGCGACGAUCCGUAGCUGGUCUGAGAGGAUGAUCAGCCACACUGGAACUGAGACACGGUCCAGACUCCUACGGGAGGCAGAAGUGGGGAAUAUUGGACAAUGGGCGCAAGCCUGAUCCAGCCAUACCGCGUGGGUGAAGAAGGCCUUCGGGUUGUAAAGCCCUUUUGUUGGGAAAGAAAAGCAGCAGGUUAAUACCCCGCUGUUCUGACGGUACCCAAAGAAUAAGCACCGGCUAACUUCGUG
rnacentral:rRNA from 1 species